rnacentral:misc_RNA from 1 species
CUUUUAUCGUCUUUUGGUUUAGGCGAAAAAACACAGAAAAAUGUCUCAAGCAGCGGAGGAAGACAAGAAGCCCGGCGGCGAUCAAGUUCACAUCAAUCUCAAAGUCAAAAGUCAGGAUGGGAAUGAAGUCUUCUUUAGGAUCAAAAGAAGCACCCAGCUAAAGAAACUCAUGAAUGCGUAUUGCGACCGGCAGUCUGUGGAUUUUAAUUCAAUUGCAUUCUUGUUUGAUGGUCGUCGUCUUCGAGGAGAGCAGACUCCAGAUGAGCUGGAGAUGGAGGAUGGCGAUGAAAUUGAUGCAAUGUUGCAUCAAACUGGAGGCUCAACUAUUUGAGGCGUCCCAUCUCUUUUGUUUAUGGACAUAGUCUGUGUUUCUAGGUGGUAGACUUUAAUGAAUGUAGCUUGUGCUACUCUAAGUACUGUAGAAGCAUAUAUGUGGUUUCGUCUUAUGUUUAACCGUUUUUAUGAACUUAGCUACGUAUUGCUUACUGUUGCAAGAAGAUUUCCUUGUCGUCAAGUUUAAGUGUUGCCUGUCUCCUCAAUAACUGAGAUACUGUGAAUCUCAUGUGUUUUGUUGUAACUAGACACCAUGAGAAACAAUAAUCUUGUUCGAUAUGUG